UAGAGUUUGAUCCUGGCUCAGGACGAACGCUGGCGGCGUGCCUAAUACAUGCAAGUCGUACGCUUCUUUUUCCACCGGAGCUUGCUCCACCGGAAAAAGAGGAGUGGCGAACGGGUGAGUAACACGUGGGUGACCUGCCCAUCAGAAGGGGAUAACACUUGGAAACAGGUGCUAAUACCGUAUAACAAUCGAAACCGCAUGGUUUUGAUUUGAAAGGCGCUUUCGGGUGUCGCUGAUGGAUGGACCCGCGGUGCAUUAGCUAGUUGGUGAGGUAACGGCUCACCAAGGCCACGAUGCAUAGCCGACCUGAGAGGGUGAUCGGCCACAUUGGGACUGAGACACGGCCCAAACUCCUACGGGAGGCAGCAGUAGGGAAUCUUCGGCAAUGGACGAAAGUCUGACCGAGCAACGCCGCGUGAGUGAAGAAGGUUUUCGGAUCGUAAAACUCUGUUGUUAGAGAAGAACAAGGAUGAGAGUAACUGUUCAUCCCUUGACGGUAUCUAACCAGAAAGCCACGGCUAACUACGUGCCAGCAGCCGCGGUAAUACGUAGGUGGCAAGCGUUGUCCGGAUUUAUUGGGCGUAAAGCGAGCGCAGGCGGUUUCUUAAGUCUGAUGUGAAAGCCCCCGGCUCAACCGGGGAGGGUCAUUGGAAACUGGGAGACUUGAGUGCAGAAGAGGAGAGUGGAAUUCCAUGUGUAGCGGUGAAAUGCGUAGAUAUAUGGAGGAACACCCAGUGGCGAAGGCGGCUCUUCUGGUCUGUAACUGACGCUGAGGCUCGAAAGCG
rnacentral:rRNA from 1 species